AACGAACGCUGGCGGCGUGGAUUAGGCAUGCAAGUCGAACGCGAAAGGGGAGCAAUCCCCAAGUAGAGUGGCGAACGGGUGAGUAACGCGUGAAGAACCUGCCUUCAACAGGGGGAUAACACUCCCAACGGGGUGCUAAUACCGCAUGAGACCACGGGUCUGCAUGGACCUGAGGUCAAAGGUGGCCUCUGCUUGCAAGCUACCGGUUGAAGAUGGCUUCGCGUCCCAUAGCUAGUUGGCGGUGUAAAAGACCACCAAGGCGACGAUGGGUAGCUGGUCUGAGAGGAUGGUCAGCCACACUGGGACUGAGAUACGGCCCAGACUCCUACGGGAGGCAGCAGUCGAGAGGCUUUGGCAAUGGGGAAACCCUGACCAAGCGACGCCGCGUGGAGGAUGAAGGCCCUUGGGUU
rnacentral:rRNA from 1 species